AGUGAACGCUGGCGGCAGGCCUAACACAUGCAAGUCGAGCGGCAGCACGGGUAGCAAUACCUGGUGGCGAGCGGCGGACGGGUGAGGAAUACAUCGGAAUCUGCCUUGUUGUGGGGGAUAACGUAGGGAAACUUACGCUAAUACCGCAUAAGACCGAGAGGUGAAAGCGGGGGAUCGAAAGACCUCGCGCGACAAGAUGAGCCGAUGUCGGAUUAGCUAGUUGGCGGGGUAAAGGCCACCAAGGCGACGAUCCGUAGCUGGUCUGAGAGGAUGAUCAGCCACACUGGAACUGAGACACGGUCCAG
rnacentral:rRNA from 1 species